GUGAAUCAUCAAAUUUUUGAACGCAAAUUGCACUCUCCUCGGAGAGUAUGCCUGUUUGAGGGUCAGCCUAUAAAAAAUCGACAUAGUUGCUGUUUCGCGGUGGCGUUCGUCGGAAAUUGGGUUAUCUUAAAUCCUUUUGGGUUUUAAGCGACUUAAUAUUUUCUAUUUGGUUCCAUGAACUUUUCUAAGAUUUAUAUCUUUAUACGUUAAAGGUAUCGAUUUUUAUUAGCCGUUACCUUCAUAUCGGAUCGCGUCC
rnacentral:misc_RNA from 1 species